rnacentral:rRNA from 1 species
AGCAGCCGCGGUAAUUCCAGCUCCAAUAGCGUAUAUUAAAGUUGUUGCAGUUAAAAAGCUCGUAGUUGAACUUCAGGCCUGUCCAGACGGUCCGCCUUAAUUGGUGUGUACUGUCCUUGGGUGGGUCCUACCUUCUGGCGAAGCGGCAUGGCCUUAAUUGGUUGUGUCGGGGAACCAGGACUUUUACUGUGAAAAAAUUAGAGUGUUCAAAGCAGGCAAAUAUGCUCGAAUACAUUAGCAUGGAAUAAUGGAAUAGGACGAUGGUUCUAUUUUGUUGGUUCUAGGACCGUUGUAAUGAUUAAUAGGGAUAGUCGGGGGCAUUAGUAUUCAAUUGUCAGAGGUGAAAUUCUUGGAUUUAUUGAAGACUAACUACUGCGAAAGCAUUUGCCAAGGAUGUUUUCAUUAAUCAAGAACGAAAGUUAGGGGAUCGAAGACGAUCAGAUACCGUCG